GAUGAACGCUGGCGGCGUGCCUAAUACAUGCAAGUCGAGCGAACGGACGAGAAGCUUGCUUCUCUGAUGUUAGCGGCGGACGGGUGAGUAACACGUGGAUAACCUACCUAUAAGACUGGGAUAACUUCGGGAAACCGGAGCUAAUACCGGAUAAUAUUUUGAACCGCAUGGUUCAAAAGUGAAAGACGGUCUUGCUGUCACUUAUAGAUGGAUCCGCGCUGCAUUAGCUAGUUGGUAAGGUAACGGCUUACCAAGGCAACGAUGCAUAGCCGACCUGAGAGGGUGAUCGGCCACACUGGAACUGAGACACGGUCCAGACUCCUACGGGAGGCAGCAGUAGGGAAUCUUCCGCAAUGGGCGAAAGCCUGACGGAGCAACGCCGCGUGAGUGAUGAAGGUCUUCGGAUCGCAAAACUCUGUUAUUAGGGAAGAACAUAUGUGUAAGUAACUGUGCACAUCUUGACGGUACCUAAUCAGAAAGCCACGGCUAACUACGUGCCAGCAGCCGCGGUAAUACGUAGGUGGCAAGCGUUAUCCGGAAAUAUUGGGCGUAAAGCGCGCGUAGGCGGUUUUUUAGUCUGAUGUGAAAGCCCACGGCUCAACCGUGGAGGGUCAUUGGAAACUGGAAAACUUGAGUGCAGAAGAGGAAAGUGGAAUUCCAUGUGUAGCGGUGAAAUGCGCAGAGAUAUGGAGGAACACCAGUGGCGAAGGCGACUUUCUGGUCUGUAACUGACGCUGAUGUGCGAAAGCGUGGGGAUCAAACAGGAUUAGAUACCCUGGUAGUCCACGCCGUAAACGAUGAGUGCUAAGUGUUAGGGGGUUUCCGCCCCUUAGUGCUGCAGCUAACGCAUUAAGCACUCCGCCUGGGGAGUACGACCGCAAGGUUGAAACUCAAAGGAAUUGACGGGGACCCGCACAAGCGGUGGAGCAUGUGGUUUAAUUCGAAGCAACGCGAAGAACCUUACCAAAUCUUGACAUCCUUUGACAACUCUAGAGAUAGAGCCUUCCCCUUCGGGGGACAAAGUGACAGGUGGUGCAUGGUUGUCGUCAGCUCGUGUCGUGAGAUGUUGGGUUAAGUCCCGCAACGAGCGCAACCCUUAAGCUUAGUUGCCAUCAUUAAGUUGGGCACUCUAAGUUGACUGCCGGUGACAAACCGGAGGAAGGUGGGGAUGACGUCAAAUCAUCAUGCCCCUUAUGAUUUGGGCUACACACGUGCUACAAUGGACAAUACAAAGGGCAGCGAAACCGCGAGGUCAAGCAAAUCCCAUAAAGUUGUUCUCAGUUCGGAUUGUAGUCUGCAACUCGACUACAUGAAGCUGGAAUCGCUAGUAAUCGUAGAUCAGCAUGCUACGGUGAAUACGUUCCCGGGUCU
rnacentral:rRNA from 1 species